GACAUGCAGUGGACAGUAUCAGAAAUGAUAUCUUCCUUCGGGACCGCUGCACAGGUGCUGCAUGGCUGUCGUCAGCUCGUGCCGUGAGGUGUUGGGUUAAGUCCCGCAACGAGCGCAACCCUUAUCAUUAGUUGCCAACAUUUAAGGUGGGAACUCUAAUGAGACUGCCCGGGUUAACCGGGAGGAAGGUGAGGAUGAUGUCAAGUCCGCAUGGCCCUUAUGUCUGGGGCUACACACGUGCUACAAUGGUCGGUACAGAAGGCAGCGAAGCCGCAAGGUGAAGCAAAUCCGAAUAAAGCCGAUCCCAGUUCAGAUUGUAGUCUGCAACUCGACUACAUGAAGAUGGAAUUGCUAGUAAUGGCGAGUCAGCAACAUCGCCGUGAAUACGUUCCCGGGUCUUGUACACACCG
rnacentral:rRNA from 1 species